rfam:Marinactinospora thermotolerans DSM 45154 genome assembly, contig: G546DRAFT_scaffold00008.8
GUUGCGAUCCCUCCAAGGAUGAUCAGCGAC